AAUCAACGCUGGCGGCGUGCCUCAGACAUGCAAGUCGAACGACCAAACUUUCCUUCGGGAAAGAUAUAAAGUGGCGUACGGGUGAGUAACACGUAAGUAAUCUACCUUCGAGUGGGGAAUAACGUUCGGAAACGAACGCUAAUACCGCAUAAUGCAGCGGCAUCAAUGAUGACAGUUGUUAAAGAAUUUAUUCGCUUGAAGAGGAGCUUGCGGCAGAUUAGCUAGUUGGAAGGUAAAUGGCUUACCAAGGCUACGAUCUGUAUCCGGUCUAAGAGGACGGUCGGACACACUGACACUGAAUAACGGGUC
rnacentral:rRNA from 1 species